AUACCUUUAUUAUCAGUUUGUUAUAUGAUAUGUGGACCAUUGGCUCACAGGAUAUCAACUCAAUUUUUUGAGGGGAAAGGUCCAUUAGAGUAGCUUGCUACUUGGACCUUCAUGUAUCACCUAGGUGUUGCGCUUCAGCCUUGGACUGGUGCACCCCAC
rnacentral:snRNA from 1 species